rnacentral:pre_miRNA from 1 species
UCAUGGUGAUGAUGAUGAUGAUGAUGAUGACGAUGAUGAUGAUGAUGGUGUUGCCGUUUUGACUGUUUUCCACCAUCCUCAUCAUCCUCAUCCUUCAUCCUCAUCGUCACCAUCAUCAUCACCAUCAUAU